CAGUUGGUUUAUUUCAAGGGCAGCAUUAAAGGCAGGUUUAUGUCCUGGGAGAGACGGUCCUGGUUGGUACCUGAAGAGACCCUCUCUGUGUAUUUGGAAAUGACAGAAAAGACCAGAAGCAGGCAGGACAAUAAAAGUAACAAAGCACUCACGAGUCACACUGUUGUUUGAUAGACUUCUGUUUAAUUUAUACCGUACUUCCAUUGUACUAGCUACUUACAUGGAGUUUUGGCUGCAUAGCCUUUACAAUUCCUAGGUUCUAGCAGGUAAGUUUCAUCAUCAUUUCCUCGCGUUUUGCGCACAGCGCAAACCUGAUGACAGUUCAACAACUCCUAAAACAAAACCACGGGUCCUCCCCCAGCCCACCCUGAAGUUCAUGGCGGUGCUGCAGGCUGUGGCCAACAGCCCUCUGCUUCCCUGGCCCUGGUGCUGAAAUCCAGAAGGGGAAUGCACACCCAUGGGUUUCUGUAUGACCGUUCCCUCGCCUUGCUGACACGAGGAGAUCCUCAUUAAUCUGCAAUUGCGGCAGCGAUCGGGGUUGCAGGAUGUGGGGCUCAGGUGGGCAGAACACACUCCAGGGUGUUUAUAGCAGCUUUACCCAGCCCUGGAGCGCGUGAUGAGAUGAACUGCAGUGAGAGUGACCAUGUCCCAGAGGUGCCACAGCCACACAGUGCCAGUCCUGGUGGUCAGAGAUGUACGCUGCGAUGGUUCUGCUGCUCCUCCCUCUGCUCUGAGCUCGUCGGGCCAAGAGCCAGGCCAAGCCCAAGGAAGCUGUACCAGUGGGAACAUCCAGAACCCAACGUGACCGCAGUCUGCAGAGAUGCUGCAGAGGAAGGAGGAUGCACAUGCGAGCAAAGGGAUUUCUUGCCUCCAUAACCAGCAAGAGAAUGUCAGCUUGUGCCAAUUCGAGCUAGAGACCAACGGACACAUGAGACCUGCACCAUUUCUUGUGGGAACACACAGCUGACUCCUUCCUGCCAUCUAGGAGUGGACAUGUCCUGCUUCUGAACAAAGGUUCUCGACAAAGGUGGAGACUGAGUGCCUUGCAUGUCACCUACCCUACCGGGCUGGGCUGGCCAGCAUGGCAGCAAAUUGCAUUUCUGCUCCAAGAGACGUAGAAGAUGAUUGCCAGGGAGACCUGCUCUCCACAGCCCUACAGCAAUUCCUCUGGAGGCCUCCUCUCCAAUCGGGGGAUCGUUUCAUAAGGGAUCGAUGGUGAUUGCCAAAACCUCUCUGCCCUGAAGCCAGCAAGGAUUCUCUCCUUUACUUGUCUGGACUCCUGUGAGAUGAUAGAGAACCCACGUGAAUAGCCCUUGGGACCUUCUGCCCAGCCCAGCAUCAGAAGACAGACUUAAAGAGAGAUGGGAACGGAGGUGAUGCACCUGGUGGGCUGCAGUGGUCCAGGUAAGGCUGAGGGAUUGCAGGUGAUGGGCUGGGAGGACACAGUGACUGUCUACUCACAGUGGUACUGGGAUGUGUGGUCUCACCUGGUCUAGAAGCAUCACGGAGGAUUUGAUGAUCUCACGCCAUUUUUGUAACUCUGAGUCAUGAUACUUCUGCUGAGAUUCUAGUAACUGGGCCCAUUCUGUCUGCGACUGGG
rnacentral:lncRNA from 1 species